rnacentral:rRNA from 1 species
AUACAGAGGGCUCAAGCGUUAAUCGGUAUCACUGGGCUUAAAGGGUGCGUAGGCGGGCCUGUAAGUGCUUUGUGAAAUCCCACGGCUCAACCGUGGAAUUGCUUGGCAGACUGCAGGUCUUGAGGUCGGUAGGGGCUGCCGGAACUCUAGGUGUAGCGGUGAAAUGCGUAGAUAUCUAGAGGAACACCAAAGGUGAAGACAGGCAGCUGGGCCAAUCCUGACGCUGAGGCACGAAAGCGUGGGUAGCGAACGGGAUUAGAAACCCCAGUAGUCC